CCAAACUCCACAAGGGAUAGAACUACAGGAGAGAAGUGAAAUAGUUUCGUCCACCUCUACAUGGAUUUCUUCAUUGGUAAAAUAAUAAAACAAUGCACCAUCAGUAAAUAAUCGCAGCCUGAUACCUAGCCCCACCAACCAACGUCCUUUUAAAUCUAAAUUCCCUGUGUUCACAAUUAAAAUGAACCUAUCUGCAACCAGUUGUACAGCCUUGGUACAGCCUUGGUGUCAUAUGGCUCUGCUUUCUUUUCCACCAGUAUUCAAAAUCUUGUUCUUGUGUAGACAUGCACUAGAGGGUGUCAUCAGACUUUUACGUUCCACCAUACAGGAAAAAGAAAGUCUUCUGGUCCAGUUUGCAUUGCACCAAAUGAACAUAAAA